rnacentral:rRNA from 1 species
GGGGGUAAAUUAAUAAACAAUAAAUAAUAAAAGAAAUUUUAAUAUUAAAAAAAAAUAAUGGGGGUUAGAGUAUUUUUAAUAGAAAAAAUUGUUAAUUUUAUAGUUGAUUAUUACUGUAAAGGAAAUUAUAAAUAAAUGAAAAUUAAUUGGGGGAAAAGUAAAUUUAAUUUAUUGUAUCUUGUGUAUCAGAGUUUAUUAAAUAUUAAUAAUUUAUUUAAAUAAAUCUCGAAUUUAAAAGAGUUAAUUAAUUAAAAAAGUUAAUGUUGAAUAAUUAUUUUAAAUAAUUAAUUAGAAAUGAAAUGUUAAUCGUUUCUAAAUAUAUCUAGUUUUUUUAGAAAAAAAUUUAAUUUUAAAUUUAAAUAAUUUUAUAAUUUUUUAGUUAAUUAUAAAAAAUUUAAAAUUUAAUAUUUUAGGGGAUAAGCUUUAAAUUAAAAUAUUAUAAUUAAUUAAAAUAAAAAUUAAAAUUUUUAAAAUUUAUAUUGUUUAGAUAUUAUAGUUUAUUAUAAAUAAUUUUAUUUUAAAUAAAAUUUAAAUUAAAUUUAAUUUUUUAUAAAAAAAUAAUUUUUAAUUAUAAAAAAUUAGUAAUAAUGAUAAAAUUAGUAUAUUAAUAAUUAAAUAAAAAAAAAUUAAUUAAAAUUAAAUUAAAGGAAUUCGGCAAAAUUUUAUAUUCACUUGUUUAUCAAAAACAUGUCUUUUUGAUAAUAAUUUAAAGUCUAAUCUGCCCACUGAUAUAAUUAUUAAAGGGCUGCAGUAUAUUGACUGUACAAAGGUAGCAUAAUCAUUAGUCUUUUAAUUGAAGACUUGUAUGAAAGAUUUGAUGAAAUAUAAACUGUCUCUAAUUUAUUUUUGUAGAAUUUAAUUUUUUAGUAAAAAAGCUAAAAUAAAAUUAAAAGACGAGAAGACCCUAUAGAGUUUUAUAAUUAGAUUAAUUAAUGUAAAUUUAUACAUAUAUAAUUAUAAAAAAAAUUAAUUUAAUUAUUUUAUUGGGGUGAUAAAAAAAUUAAAAAAACUUUUUUUUUAAUAAAACAUUAAUAAGUGAAAAAAUGAUCCAUUAAUAGUGAUUAUAAGAAAAAAUUACCUUAGGGAUAACAGCGUAAUAUUUUUUUUUAGUACAAAUAAGAAAAAAAGUUUGCGACCUCGAUGUUGGAUUAAGAUAAAAUUUAAAUGCAAAAGUUUAAAAUUUUGAUCUGUUCGAUCAUUAAAAUCUUACAUGAUCUGAGUUCAAACCGGUGUAAGCCAGGUUGGUUUCUAUCUUUAGUAAAAUUAAAUAUUUUA